rnacentral:rRNA from 1 species
CAGCCGCCGCGGUAAUACCGGCGGCCCGAGUGGCGGUCACUAUUAUUUGGCUUAAAGCGUCCGUAGCCGGGUUGGGAAGUCCUCCGGGAAAUCUGGCCGCUUAACGGUCAGAAUGCCGGAGGAUACUCCCAGCCUAGGGAGCGGGAGAGGCCGAGGGGAUUCCCGGAGUAGGGGGGAAAUCCUAUAAUCCCGGGAGGACCACCUGUGGCGAAGGCGCUCGGCUGGAACGCGUCCGACGGUGAGGGACGAAGGCCAGGGGAGCAAACCGGAUUAGAUACCCGGGUAGUCCUGGCUGUAAACGAUGCGGACUUUGUGUCGGACAAGCUAUGAGCUUGUCCGGUGCCGGAGGGAAACCGUUAAGUCCGCCGCCUGGGGAGUACGGCCGCAAGGCUGAAACUUAAAGGAAUUGGCGGG